rnacentral:lncRNA from 1 species
UAAUGGUAUUUCAUUAUACACAUAAAGUAAGAGAGAAAAACGUAACAAAACAAGAUAUGAAAGAUGAAUUUAAACAAUGGAUUGUGAAAGCCUUGCUGUUUGCUUCUGUUUUUAAAAAUAUUUUGCUACUUUUUCUUGGCUGCUGCCGUUGCUACAGUUGUAGUCUGCACAGAAUGAAGCCUUAAUCACACAGUCAUGCUGAAACAUGUUUACAAAUACAUCAGAAUUGGAAUUGGAGUCAUGUCAAGAUGUUCUCACUGGCAAAGACAGGAGGAGGUUAAAAUAGCUCCUUGUAGGGCAGUAACCUCGGGAGAAAAAGAACUAAUAGAAAAUAAAUGGCAUUACAAUAUAUGUAAUAUAUCUUUAGAAAGAUUAAUUGUCUUUUAUUCUCACAGAAAUUCUAUGAGCCAGGCAGAGGAACUGUUUUUGUUCCCGUUUUACUUCUGUAAAAACUGAGUCUCAGAAUAACUGCUCCCCAGAAGUAUAGAAUGAUUAAAAAAACUAGACUUCACAUGUACUGCUGAUGGGAGUACAGACUGAUGCAACCAUCCAGAGAGCAAUGUGGAGUGAAAUGAAAUCCAAACCUAUGAACCAGCAAUCCUACUCUUGAUCCACAUGGCAAAUCAACUUAAGUUUAAACUCAUGAAAGGAUAUGAUAUCCAUUAGAGACAUUUGUUGCUGCAGGGAGUUGGAAGGAGGCAAAGAAUCUAUCACUGUAAUACACACACACAAUUGUUUAUGAAAAUGGAAUACAGGCCAGGUGUGGUGGCUCAUGCCUAUAAUCACAGUGCUUUGGGAGGCCGAGGCGGGCAGAUCACAAGGUUAGGAGUUUGAGACCAGCCUGUCCAAUAUGGUGAAACUCCAUCUCUGCUAAAAAUACAAAACUUAGCCAGGUGUGGUGACAUGUGCCUGUAGUUCCAGGUACUCGGGAGGCUGAGGCAGAAGAAUCGCUUGAACACGGGAGGCAGAGGUUGGAAUGAGCCGAGAUCACGCCACUGAACUCCAGCCUGGGCAACAGAGCGAGACUCCAUCUCAAAAAAAAAAAAAAAAAAAAGA